AGGGAAAAAACAAAACAAAACAUUUCACUGAUAUGUGUGACCCUUUUCACCUAGCAGUGAAGGAAACUCAUGUUGACUGAACACCUCCCCUGGGAUGUGUGGGACCUGGGAUGAGAACUUUCACAUAGCUGCUGUGUUCAUGUCCAUCACCACCCUGUGAGGUGGAUCCCAGCAAGAUGACUUCUACCCUACAAAGAGGUUGAGAAUCCUGUUUCAAAUGCUGGAUGGAUCCCUGUGAAUCUGUCACUUUAAGAAGGGAGACUGCCCAGUGAAAGCAGUGGAAAGAAAAAGAGCGUUAAAAGAAACUGCAAAGGAUAUUGAAAUAUUGAAAGGAUAUUGAAACUUGGGAGCCCUUAUUUAUGGGAUAAAGCUGUCAGGAAAUUAAACUAGAAUCAACAUUUGACAGGUGAAUGUUUAUUUUUAUCCUUGAGACCCUAAUCUCUCUUUCCCACCAAGCUUUGCUUAUAUAUCAGAUCUAUACACUAUUUUGAAGCAGAAAAAACAAGAAAGGAAUCUUGAAAGAAAGAAAGAAGAAAAGAAAAGAAAAAAAGACUUCUCAAGCUCAGAAUCAGCCCUUGCUAUUAACAUCUCCUUCAAGGAUCAUUAGAGGCUCCCAAGGGCCAAUGGGACUGGGUGGAAGAUUCUGAGGGAGAGGACACAAGAGUUCCUGGAUGUCCAUGGGUGUCCAUCUGUAAACCCGAGCAGUUUAAAGCUUCUAAAUCCCAAUUAGGCUGCUCGAACCAACUGAGAUGCCACAAAUGCAACCUAGUGGCUUUUCCCAUGGGAAGUCAGAGAAGUGGAAAAUAUUUCAAGCAAUUUGGGCAUGCUUGCAUAACCCUUUUGUGGAAAUUCCUGCACUAACAAUUUGCAAUUAAAGUGAAAGUGAGUAAAAAUAGAAUGACCUCUCAUUUCCACAAUGACUGUAUUUUGUAGACUCUGGGGUAUGAAUUUGCCUUAUAUCUGACCCACACAUAAUGACGAAGAAACUAAAAAUAAUCAGCCUUCUGUAUGCCUAGCAGUGCAGAGUGUCUAUCAGGCAGCAGGUUGUAGCAUUAAUGACAGUUUUUAGCUAAGACAGAAGACAUGGUUGCAUAAAACAUAAGCAAAUCAACAGCCAAGUGAAGACAGAAAAACA
rnacentral:lncRNA from 1 species